UACCAGGAUCCUCCUUCCCACCCUUGCUGUGAAUGGGCGUCACAUUGAGCAGCUUCCAGUCAUCUGGAACCUCCCCAGUGAGCCAGGACUGCUGGUAAAUGAUGGAGAGCAGAUUGACAAGCUCAUCUGCCAGCUCCCUCAUCACCCUGGGGUGGAUCCCAUCUGGUUCCAUGGAUUAUGAACAUCCAAGCAGCUCAGAAGUUCUCUGACAGCCUUCUCUUGGAUAAUGGGGGGACCAUUCUGUUCCCUGACACCAUCAACCAAUUCAAGAAGAUAUUUGUCCUGGGGUCAAGCCGUCUUCCCACCAAAGACUGAGGCAAAGAAGGUGUUAAGCACUUCUGCCUUCUUCUUAUCUGCCGUUACUAAGUCUCUGCCUCAUCCAGUAUAGAACAGAGGUUGGUCUUACCCUUCCUUUUACCAUUAAUGUACUUGUAAAAACAUUUUUUAUUAUCCUUUACAGAAGUCACCAUUUUAAAUUCAAAAUGAGCUUUGGCCUCCCUGAUUUUUUUCCUAUAUGCUCUAGAAGCCCUCUUAAAUACUUACUGAGAGACCUGACCCUCCUUUCAAAGAUGAUUCAACCUCUUUUUAUUCUUAAGGUCCUCCAAAACCUCCCCUCCCCCUCUAGGCUGGGUGAUUGCCUCGUUGCCUCAUCUUUCAGCACAGAGGGACAGUCUGUUCCUGUGCCCUCAAUAUCUCUGUUUGGAAGCACAUCCACUUUUUCUGAACUCCCUUGCAUUUAAGGGCUGCUUUCAAAGGAACUCUUGGAAUAAGCCACCUAAAUAGGUCAAAGUCUGCUCUCCAAAAGUCUAGUAUAAAAGUCUUAUUAAUGUUCCUCCUGACUUCACCAAAUAUCAAGAAUUUUAUAAUCUUGUGAUCACUCUGCCCCAAGUGGCCUCCAACCACCACAUCUCCCACCUGCCCAUCUCUAUUUGCAAACAACAAGAUCUAACACAGUACCUCCCCUGGUAGACUUUCCCAUCAGCUGUGACAAAAAGUUGUCCUCCACAAACUCUAAAAAUUUCCUGGACUGCCUCUUUUCAGUUUUAUUAAGUUCCCAGCAAAUGUUUACCAAGUUGAAGUCACCUACAAGAACAAAGGCUGAUGAUCCAGAAACAUUCUCUAGCUGCUUACAGAAUGAGUUGUCCACCACUUCUUCCUGGCUGGGUGGACGAUAACAGACUCCCAGUAGGAUGUCAGCCUUGUUGGCCUUCCCCCUAAUUCUCACCCACAGGCAUUCAACUCCAUCCUCAUUAGUUUCAUUACCUGUGGUGUCCAAAGCCUCCCUAAUAUAAAGGGCCACCUCUCCAUCUCUUCUCCCUUUUGUAUCUCUCCUGAAGAGCUUGUAGCCAUCCAGUGCAGUGCUCCAGCCCUGUGAAUCAUCCCACCACGUUUCUGUGAUGGCAAUUACACCACAGCUCUGCUGCUGCACCAUGGCCUCCAGCUCUUCUUGUUUGUUACCCAUGGUGUGUGCACUGGUAUCCAUGCACCUCAGCUGGGCUGCUGAUUUCACCCCUAACUCAGGCUUACCACCCUUGGGCCUGCUUCCAGAGAGCCCAGCUGCAUCCCUUUCCCCCUUCAGACCUAGUUUAAAGCCCUCUCAACAAGUUCUGCUAGUUCAUGAGCUAAAAACUUUCUGCCCUUAACAGAGAGAUGGAGCCCAUCUGGUUCCAGCAGGCCAAGUACAGUAAAAGUUGUCCCAUAAUCAAGGAAUUCAAAAUUCUGCAGGUGGCAAUACCUCUCACAGAUGAAUCAUAAUUGGGAGACUCACUGGACAGAUAAUUUUCUUCUAAAUCAUGUGGCUGACUCCAGAUCCAGGGGCUCAUACCUGUUCCGAAGUGUCACCUGGCUGGGGAGUAGGGGUCAGGAGGAAUUUUUAUUAUUACCUCCUUGAGUGGAUAUCUACUCCCACUCCCCUUCAUCUAUCAGGUAUCCUUCUCUUGUCUGAGAGUAAGAGGUAUAAAA